rnacentral:lncRNA from 1 species
UAACACUUUUAGUGUUAUACCUUCACUUUGAAAUCCUGACUCCUAUUCUUUGCUCCCUCUCUGUUAGAGAUCCAGAAAGAAGGAGACUACUACAGUGGAGGAGGUGGUUGGGGCUGCUGUGGGUGUAAGGGAUCCUGGUGGAAGUGGCUACUGGGCCUGCUUCUGCUCUCCCUGCUCCUCAUGGGCCUGUUCUUUGGACUCAUAGCUCUGGCGGAGGAUAUGAGGAAGCUGAAGUCUCGAAUGGCAGCGAUAGAGGCUGAGUCUUCCUCCAACAAUGCUCACAUCGCGCGCCUGCAAGCUUCCGAUGACUACACCAUCCUCCGGUCUGACAUGGCCCGCUCUGACAACAGUUUGAACCAGGGCGACAGCAUCGUCACUGGGAUGGGAACGGGUACAGCCGGGCUCACAGACAACGCUGCUCUCAGGGGGACCAUCCAGGAAGUGCUGAGAGCUGAGAUGACGUCUUCGUCAUUCAGAGACCUUUACGCCUCUUCAAUGAAGGGGGAAAGAGGAGAACAGGGACCUAAAGGUGAUCCAGGAAGUCAUGGACUUAAAGGUGACACUGGUUUCCCUGGACCACCAGGUAUGGACAAUAGGGAUGUUGCAUCAUGA